GGGUUGUGAGGUUAAGCGACUAAGCGUACACGGUGGAUGCCCUGGCAGUCAGAGGCGAUGAAGGGCGUGCUAAUCUGCGAUAAGCGCCGGUAAGGUGAUAUGAACCGUUAUAACCGGCGAUACCCGAAUGGGGAAACCCAGUGUGACUCGUCACACUAUCAUUAACUGAAUCCAUAGGUUAAUGAGGCGAACCGGGGGAACUGAAACAUCUAAGUACCCCGAGGAAAAGAAAUCAACCGAGAUUCCCCCAGUAGCGGCGAGCGAACGGGGAGGAGCCCAGAGCCUGAAUCAGCAUGUGUGUUAGUGGAAGCGUCUGGAAAGGCGCGCGAUACAGGGUGACAGCCCCGUACACAAAAGCGCAUGUGCUGUGAGCUCGAUGAGUAGGGCGGGACACGUGGUAUCCUGUCUGAAUAUGGGGGGACCAUCCUCCAAGGCUAAAUACUCCUGACUGACCGAUAGUGAACCAGUACCGUGAGGGAAAGGCGAAAAGAACCCCGGCGAGGGGAGUGAAAAAGAACCUGAAACCGUGUACGUACAAGCAGUGGGAGCACAGGUUUACCUGUGUGACUGCGUACCUUUUGUAUAAUGGGUCAGCGACUUAUAUUCUGUAGCAAGGUUAACCGAAUAGGGGAGCCGGAGGGAAACCGAGUCUUAACCGGGCGUUAAGUUGCAGGGUAUAGACCCGAAACCCGGUGAUCUAGCCAUGGGCAGGUUGAAGGUUGGGUAACACUAACUGGAGGACCGAACCGACUAAUGUUGAAAAAUUAGCGGAUGACCUGUGGCUGGGGGUGAAAGGCCAAUCAAACCGGGAGAUAGCUGGUUCUCCCCGAAAGCUAUUUAGGUAGCGCCUCGUGAAUUCAUCUCCGGGGGUAGAGCACUGUUUCGGCUAGGGGGCCAUCCCGGCUUACCAACCCGAUGCAAACUGCGAAUACCGGAGAAUGUUAUCACGGGAGACACACGGCGGGUGCUAACGUCCGUCGUGAAGAGGGAAACAACCCAGACCGCCAGCUAAGGUCCCAAAGUCAUGGUUAAGUGGGAAACGAUGUGGGAAGGCCCAGACAGCCAGGAUGUUGGCUUAGAAGCAGCCAUCAUUUAAAGAAAGCGUAAUAGCUCACUGGUCGAGUCGGCCUGCGCGGAAGAUGUAACGGGGCUAAACCAUGCACCGAAGCUGCGGCAGCGACACUGUGUGUUGUUGGGUAGGGGAGCGUUCUGUAAGCCUGUGAAGGUGGCCUGUGAGGGUUGCUGGAGGUAUCAGAAGUGCGAAUGCUGACAUAAGUAACGAUAAAGCGGGUGAAAAGCCCGCUCGCCGGAAGACCAAGGGUUCCUGUCCAACGUUAAUCGGGGCAGGGUGAGUCGACCCCUAAGGCGAGGCCGAAAGGCGUAGUCGAUGGGAAACGGGUUAAUAUUCCCGUACUUGGUGUUACUGCGAAGGGGGGACGGAGAAGGCUAUGUUGGCCGGGCGACGGUUGUCCCGGUUUAAGCGUGUAGGUGUGUGUUCCAGGUAAAUCCGGUUCACUUUAACACUGAGGCGUGACGACGAGGCACUACGGUGCUGAAGCAACAAAUGCCCUGCUUCCAGGAAAAGCCUCUAAGCAUCAGGUAACAUCAAAUCGUACCCCAAACCGACACAGGUGGUCAGGUAGAGAAUACCAAGGCGCUUGAGAGAACUCGGGUGAAGGAACUAGGCAAAAUGGUGCCGUAACUUCGGGAGAAGGCACGCUGACACGUAGGUGAAGUGAUUUACUCAUGGAGCUGAAGUCAGUCGAAGAUACCAGCUGGCUGCAACUGUUUAUUAAAAACACAGCACUGUGCAAACACGAAAGUGGACGUAUACGGUGUGACGCCUGCCCGGUGCCGGAAGGUUAAUUGAUGGGGUCAGCGCAAGCGAAGCUCCUGAUCGAAGCCCCGGUAAACGGCGGCCGUAACUAUAACGGUCCUAAGGUAGCGAAAUUCCUUGUCGGGUAAGUUCCGACCUGCACGAAUGGCGUAAUGAUGGCCAGGCUGUCUCCACCCGAGACUCAGUGAAAUUGAACUCGCUGUGAAGAUGCAGUGUACCCGCGGCAAGACGGAAAGACCCCGUGAACCUUUACUAUAGCUUGACACUGAACAUUGAGCCUUGAUGUGUAGGAUAGGUGGGAGGCUUUGAAGUGUGGACGCCAGUCUGCAUGGAGCCGACCUUGAAAUACCACCCUUUAAUGUUUGAUGUUCUAACGUGGACCCGU
rnacentral:rRNA from 1 species